CGGGUGCAAGGCAUUUGUCUUUAUAACUUCUGCAGACCACCGUUGGUUUAAGGCCUGUCCAUUCCUCAGGACUUCUCCACGGAGACCUUGCCUGGCCGUAGUCCCACAGGAAUGAGAUCAGAACUGGCCUUUGGAGUGCGAUUUUCAAUACACCAGCUUCCCUUGAACCCUGAGCAGAGAUGUGGGGAGCAAGGGGGGAGCCCAUGGGGCUCACACAGACGAAGCCUGCCAAGAAGGGAUUAUUCCUGGGAAUCCACACACUGCUCUUUUGGUAACCAGCACACACACAGUCCUUGGCAGCCACAAACCUGGGAGCGUUCCAGGAGCAUCUCGGGGUGGCUCCAGCUCAGGAAGGCACGGAUAUCAGUGGUGCAUUACGGAGAAGACAAAUGUGUUUUCCAGCAAGGCUGCGGUCGUCUGCCGGCCUCCCGAGGCUCUCCCGCGUGGCAAGAAGUGCUAACGAAGAAUGCAAUCCCUGACCUUGAUUAA
rnacentral:lncRNA from 1 species